GAGUUUGAUCCUGGCUCAGAUUGAACGCUGGCGGCAUGCCUUACACAUGCAAGUCGAACGGCAGCACGGGAGCAAUCCUGGUGGCGAGUGGCGAACGGGUGAGUAAUAUAUCGGAACGUGCCCAGUCGUGGGGGAUAACGCAGCGAAAGCUGUGCUAAUACCGCAUACGAUCUCUGGAUGAAAGCGGGGGACCUGCAAGGGCCUCGCGCGAUUGGAGCGGCCGAUAUCAGAUUAGCUAGUUGGUGGGGUAAAGGCCUACCAAGGCGACGAUCUGUAGCUGGUCUGAGAGGACGACCAGCCACACUGGAACUGAGACACGUCCAGA
rnacentral:rRNA from 1 species